UACGGGGGGGGCAAGCGUUGUUCGGAAUUACUGGGCGUAAAGGGCUCGUAGGUGGCCAACUAAGUCACACGUGAAAUCCCUCGGCUUAACCGGGGAACUGCGUGUGAUACUGGAUGGCUUGAGUUUGGGAGAGGGAUGCGGAAUUCCAGGUGUAGCGGUGAAAUGCGUAGAUAUCUGGAGGAACACCGGUGGCGAAGGCGGCAUCCUGGACCGACACUGACGCUGAGGCGCGAAAGCUAGGGUAGCAAACGGG
rnacentral:rRNA from 1 species